AGGUUGUGAUUGAAGACAAGCUAGAGGCCCAGAAUCUACAGUUGGAUCUACCUCCACAUAGCAGGGGAAAUGAUAACUUGGAGCACUUGAAGAUUGAGCUCCAGCAAAGAGUCAAACAAAUAGACGAUGCCAUCGCUAAACAUGAAGCAAUGGCCAAUACAGAUCAACUUCAAAGCCCUGGACCCUCCUUAGCUGAUCUCAUAACAUCGAGUCCUGACAGCAAAUCCUCCUCAUCCUCUUGUGAAGACAGCCGACCCCCAAGCAGCUUCCAGUGUAACCGCUCCGUGGCCUACAUGUCCCCCGGGGGCGCUCUUAGGGUUGGGAUCCCUGCCAGGAGUGUGAAUCUGCCAGGAGACUCAGGAGGGAGUCAGUGGAGAGGAUGAUGGACCUAUCCAAGGAGAAGGAGCAAA